UGCAAGUCGAACGAAGGCCCUAGCUUGCUAGGUGUCCUUAGUGGCGCACGGGUGAGUAACACGUGGGAACAUACCUUAUAGUACGGAAUAACUGCGGGAAACUGUAGCUAAUACCGUAUAUUCCAGCAAUGGGAAAGAUUUAUCGCUAUAAGAUUGGCCCGCGCAAGAUUAGCUUGUUGGUGAGGUAAAAGCUCACCAAGGCUUCGAUCUUUAGCUGGUUUGAGAGGAUGAUCAGCCACACUGGGACUGAGACACGGCCCAGACUCCUACGGGAGGCAGCAGUAGGGAAUAUUGGACAAUGGGGGCAACCCUGAUCCAGCAAUGCAGCGUGAGUGACGAAGGCCUUAGGGUUGUAAAACUCUUUCAUCGGUGAGGAUAAUGACAGUAGCCGAAGAAGAAGGACCGGCUAAUUCCGUGCCAGCAGCCGCGGUAAUACGGAAGGUCCUAGCGUUGUUCGGAAUUACUGGGCGUAGAGCGCAUGUAGGCGGAACAGAAAGUUAGAAGUGAAAUCCCUGGGCUCAACCUAGGAAUUGCUUUUAAAACUUCUGUUCUGGAAUUCAGGAGAGGAAAAUGGAAUUUCCAGUGUAGAGGUGAAAUUCGUAGAUAUUGGAAGGAACACCAGUGGCGAAGGCGAUUUUCUGGACUGAUAUUGACGCUGAGAUGCGAAGGCAUGGGUAGCAAACGGGAUUAGAUACCCCGGUAGUCCAUGCAGUAAACGAUGGGUGCUAGUCGUCGGACUUUUGUUCGGUGUCGUAGCUAACGCGUUAAGCACCCCGCCUGGGGAGUACGGUCGCAAGAUUAAAACUCAAAUAAAUCGACGGGGACCCGCACAAGCAGUGGAGCAUGUGGUUUAAUUCGACGCAACGCGAAGAACCUUACCAGCGUUUGACAUGGAAAAGUACCGGUUACAGAAUGGUAACCUUCAGUUCGGCUGGCUUUCACACAGG
rnacentral:rRNA from 1 species